UACGUAGGAGGCAAACGUUAUCCGGAUUUACUGGGCGUAAAGGGUGCGUAGGCGGUCUUUCAAGUCAGGAGUGAAAGGCUACGGCUCAACCGUAGUAAGCUCUUGAAACUGUAAGACUUGAGUGCAGGAGAGGAGAGUGGAAUUCCUAGUGUAGCGGUGAAAUGCGUAGAUAUUAGGAGGAACACCAGUGGCGAAGGCGGCUUACUGGACUGGCAAUGACGCUCAGGCUCGAAAGCGUGGGGAGCAAACAGGAUUAGAUACCCCCGUAGUCCCUGA
rnacentral:rRNA from 1 species